rnacentral:rRNA from 1 species
UGCGUCGGAACGUGCCGAGUAGUGGGGGAUAACGCAGCGAAAGUUGUGCUAAUACCGCAUACGUACUGAGGUAGAAAGUGGGGGACCUUCGGGCCUCACGCUAUUCGAGCGGCCGACGUCUGAUUAGCUAGUAGGUGAGGUAAAGGCUCACCUAGGCGACGAUCAGUAGCGGGUCUGAGAGGAUGAUCCGCCACACUGGGACUGAGACACGGCCCAGACUCCUACGGGAGGCAGCAGUGGGGAAUUUUGGACAAUGGGCGAAAGCCUGAUCCAGCCAUGCCGCGUGUCUGAAGAAGGCCUUCGGGUUGUAAAGGACUUUUGUCAGGGAGGAAAUCCCUAGCGUUAAUACCGCUGGGGGAUGACAGUACCUGAAGAAUAAGCACCGGCUAACUACGUG